UACAUCCUUUGUAACGUCCUAC
rnacentral:siRNA from 1 species